AUGGUUAAGUUAGAAAGGGCGCACGGUGAAUGCCUUGGCACUAGGAGCCGAUGAAGGACGGGACUAACACCGAUAUGCUUCGGGGAGCUGUAAGUGAGCUUUGAUCCGGAGAUUUCCGAAUGGGGAAACCCACUGUUCGUAAUGGAACAGUAUCUUUAUCUGAAUACAUAGGAUAUUGAAGGCAGACCCGGGGAACUGAAACAUCUAAGUACCCGGAGGAAGAGAAAGCAAAUGCGAUUUCCUGAGUAGCGGCGAGCGAAACGGAAUUAGCCCAAACCAAGAGGCUUGCCUCUUGGGGUUGUAGGACACUCUAUACGGAGUUACAAAGGAACGAAGUAAAUGAAGCGACCUGGAAAGGUCCGUCGAAGAAGGUAACAACCCUGUAGUUGAAACUUCGUUCCCUCUUGAGUGGAUCCUGAGUACGGCGGAACACGUGAAAUUCCGUCGGAAGCUGGGAGGACCAUCUCCCAAGGCUAAAUACUACCUAGUGACCGAUAGUGAACCAGUACCGUGAGGGAAAGGUGAAAAGCACCCCGGAAGGGGAGUGAAAGAGAUCCUGAAACCGUGUGCCUACAAGUAGUCAGAGCCCGUUAACGGGUGAUGGCGUGCCUUUUGUAGAAUGAACCGGCGAGUUACGAUCCCAUGCAAGGUUAAGCUGAUAAGGCGGAGCCGUAGCGAAAGCGAGUCUGAAUAGGGCGUUUAGUAUGUGGUUGUAGACCCGAAACCAGGUGAUCUACCCAUGUCCAGGGUGAAGUUCAGGUAACACUGAAUGGAGGCCCGAACCCACGCACGUUGAAAAGUGCGGGGAUGAGGUGUGGGUAGCGGAGAAAUUCCAAUCGAACCUGGAGAUAGCUGGUUCUCUCCGAAAUAGCUUUAGGGCUAGCCUCAUGUUGUGAGAGUCUUGGAGGUAGAGCACUGAUUGGACUAGGGGCCCCCAACGGGUUACCGAAUUCAGUCAAACUCCGAAUGCCAAAGACUUAUCCAUGGGAGUCAGACUGCGAGUGAUAAGAUCCGUAGUCAAAAGGGAAACAGCCCAGACCACCAGCUAAGGUCCCCAAGUAUACGUUAAGUGGAAAAGGAUGUGGAGUUGCUUAGACAACCAGGAUGUUGGCUUAGAAGCAGCCACCAUUUAAAGAGUGCGUAAUAGCUCACUGGUCGAGUGACUCUGCGCCGAAAAUGUACCGGGGCUAAACGUAUCACCGAAGCUGUGGAUUGACAUCUUUGAUGUCAGUGGUAGGAGAGCGUUCUAAGUGCUGUGAAGUCAGACCGUAAGGACUGGUGGAGCGCUUAGAAGUGAGAAUGCCGGUAUGAGUAGCGAAAGACAAGUGAGAAUCUUGUCCACCGAAUGCCUAAGGUUUCCUGAGGAAGGCUCGUCCGCUCAGGGUUAGUCGGGACCUAAGCCGAGGCUGAAAAGCGUAGGCGAUGGCCAACAGGUUGAUAUUCCUGUACCACCUCCCCGCCGUUUGAGUAAUGGGGGGACGCAGUAGGAUAGGGUAAGCGCGCUGCUGGAUAUGCGCGUUCAAGCAGUUAGGCUGAUGAGUAGGCAAAUCCGCUCAUCAUAAAGGCUGAGCUGUGAUGACGAGGGAAUUAUAGUACCGAAGUUCCUGAUUCCACACUGCCAAGAAAAGCCUCUAGCGAGGCGGGAGGUGCCCGUACCGCAAACCGACACAGGUAGGCGAGGAGAGAAUCCUAAGGUGAUCGAGAGAACUCUCGUUAAGGAACUCGGCAAAAUGACCCCGUAACUUCGGGAGAAGGGGUGCUCUGGUAGGGUGUAUAGCCCGAGAGAGCCGCAGUGAAUAGGCCCAGGCGACUGUUUAGCAAAAACACAGGUCUCUGCGAAGCCGCAAGGCGAAGUAUAGGGGCUGACGCCUGCCCGGUGCUGGAAGGUUAAGAGGAGGGGUUAUCCUUUGGGAGAAGCUCUGAAUCGAAGCCCCAGUAAACGGCGGCCGUAACUAUAACGGUCCUAAGGUAGCGAAAUUCCUUGUCGGGUAAGUUCCGACCCGCACGAAAGGCGUAACGAUCUGGGCACUGUCUCAACGAGAGACUCGGUGAAAUUAUAGUACCUGUGAAGAUGCAGGUUACCCGCGACAGGACGGAAAGACCCCGUGGAGCUUUACUGUAGCCUGAUAUUGAAUUUUGGUACAGCUUGUACAGGAUAGGUAGGAGCCUGAGAAGCCGGAGCGCUAGCUUCGGUGGAGGCGUCGGUGGGAUACUACCCUGGCUGUAUUGAAAUUCUAACCCGCGGCCCUGAUCGGGCCGGGAGACAGUGUCAGGUGGGCAGUUUGACUGGGGCGGUCGCCUCCUAAAAUGUAACGGAGGCGCCCAAAGGUUCCCUCAGAAUGGUUGGAAAUCAUUCGUAGAGUGUAAAGGCACAAGGGAGCUUGACUGCGAGACCUACAAGUCGAGCAGGGACGAAAGUCGGGCUUAGUGAUCCGGUGGUUCCGCAUGGAAGGGCCAUCGCUCAACGGAUAAAAGCUACCCCGGGGAUAACAGGCUUAUCUCCCCCAAGAGUCCACAUCGACGGGGAGGUUUGGCACCUCGAUGUCGGCUCAUCGCAUCCUGGGGCUGUAGUCGGUCCCAAGGGUUGGGCUGUUCGCCCAUUAAAGCGGUACGCGAGCUGGGUUCAGAACGUCGUGAGACAGUUCGGUCCCUAUCCGUCGUGGGCGUAGGAAAUUUGAGAGGAGCUGUCCUUAGUACGAGAGGACCGGGAUGGACACACCGCUGGUGUACCAGUUGUCUUGCCAAAGGCAUCGCUGGGUAGCUAUGUGUGGACGGGAUAAGUGCUGAAAGCAUCUAAGCAUGAAGCCCCCCUCAAGAUGAGAUUUCCCAUAGCGCAAGCUAGUAAGAUCCCUGAAAGAUGAUCAGGUUGAUAGGUCAGAGGUGGAAGCGUGGCGACAUGUGUAGCUGACUGAUACUAAUCGAUCGAGGACUUAACCAAACUUUAAAAGUGU
rnacentral:rRNA from 1 species